rnacentral:rRNA from 1 species
GACGAACGCUGGCGGCGUGCUUAACACAUGCAAGUCGAACGGAAAGGCCUCUUUCGGGGGGUACUCGAGUGGCGAACGGGCGAGUAACACGUGAGUAACCUGCCCUUGACUUUGGGAUAACUUCAGGAAACUGGGGCUAAUACCGGAUAGGAGCUCCUGCUGCAUGGUGGGGGUUGGAAAGUUUCGGCGGUUGGGGAUGGACUCGCGGCUUAUCAGCUUGUUGGUGGGGUAGUGGCUUACCAAGGCUUUGACGGGUAGCCGGCCUGAGAGGGUGACCGGCCACAUUGGGACUGAGAUACGGCCCCGACUCCUACGGGAGGCAGCAGUGGGGAAUAUUGCACAAUGGGUGGAAGCCUGAUGCAGCAACGCCGUGUGCGGGAUGACGGCCUUCGGGUUGUAAACCGCUUUCGCUCAUGACGAAGCUUUGUGUGACGGUAGUGGGUAAAGAAGCACCGGCUAACUACGUG